UCCGCAGUAGCUCAGCGGUAGAGCUAUCGGCUGUUAACCGAUCGGUCGUAGGUUCGAUUCCUACCUGCGGAGCCAUUG
rnacentral:tRNA from 4 species